AAUGUGUGUGUUUUAUCCACGUUCUAGGCAAACCAGACUUAAUGCAAGUGCGUCAAAUGCCAUCUAAGAUGGACCUGUGCAGUCUGCACAGGCUAAUCUGGGACAACACUCACCACAGGUCUGCACAGGCUAAUCUGGGACAACACUUACCACAGGUCUGCACAGGCUAAUCUGGGACAACACUUACCACAGGUCUGCACAGGCUAAUCUGGGACAACACUUACCACAGGUCUGCACAGGCUAAUCUGGGACAACACUUACCACAGGUCUGCACAGGCUAAUCUGGGACAACACUUACCACAGGUCUGCACAGGCUAAUCUGGGACAACACUUACCACAGGUCUGCACAGGCUAAUCUGGGACAACACUUACCACAGGUCUGCACAGGCUAAUCUGGGACAACACUUACCACAGGUCUGCACAGGCUAAUCUGGGACAACACUUACCACAGGUCUGCACAUGCUAAUCUGGGACAACACUCACCACAGGUCUGCACAGGCUAAUCUGGGACAACACUUACCACAGGUCUGCACAGGCUAA